AUUGAACGCUGGCGGCAUGCCUUACACAUGCAAGUCGAACGGUAACGGGCCUUCGGGUGCCGCCGAGUGGCGAACGGGUGAGUAAUACAACGGAACGUGCCCGAUCGUGGGGGAUAACGAGGCGAAAGCUUUGCUAAUACCGCAUACGAUCUACGGAUGAAAGCAGGGGACCGCAAGGCCUUGCGCGGACGGAGCGGCCGAUGGCAGAUUAGGUAGUUGGUGGGAUAAAAGCUUACCAAGCCGACGAUCUGUAGCUGGUCUGAGAGGAUGAUCAGCCACACUGGGACUGAGACACGGCCCAGACUCCUACGGGAGGCAGCAGUGGGGAAUUUUGGACAAUGGGCGCAAGCCUGAUCCAGCCAUGCCGCGUGCAGGAUGAAGGCCUUCGGGUUGUAAACUGCUUUUGUACGGAACGAAAAGCCUUCUUUUAAUACAGGAGGGUCAUGACGGUACCGGAAGAAUAAGCACCGGCUAACUACGUG
rnacentral:rRNA from 1 species